UACGUAGGGUGCAAGCGUUUAAUCGGAAUUACUGGGCGUAAAGCGUGCGCAGGCGGUUUUGUAAGUUUGUCGUGAAAUCCCCGGGCUCAACCUGGGAAUGGCGAUGAAGACUGCAAGGCUAGAAUCUGGCAGAGGGGGGUAGAAUUCCACGUGUAGCAGUGAAAUGCGUAGAGAUGUGGAGGAACACCGAUGGCGAAGGCAGCCCCCUGGGUCAAGAUUGACGCUCAUGCACGAA
rnacentral:rRNA from 1 species